rnacentral:rRNA from 1 species
GACGAACGCUGGCGGCGUGCCUAAUACAUGCAAGUUGAGCGCUGAAGGUUGGUACUUGUACCAACUGGAUGAGCAGCGAACGGGUGAGUAACGCGUGGGGAAUCUGCCUUUGAGCGGGGGACAACAUUUGGAAACGAAUGCUAAUACCGCAUAAAAACUUUAAACACAAGUUUUAAGUUUGAAAGAUGCAAUUGCAUCACUCAAAGAUGAUCCCGCGUUGUAUUAGCUAGUUGGUGAGGUAAAGGCUCACCAAGGCGAUGAUACAUAGCCGACCUGAGAGGGUGAUCGGCCACAUUGGGACUGAGACACGGCCCAAACUCCUACGGGAGGCAGCAGUAGGGAAUCUUCGGCAAUGGACGAAAGUCUGACCGAGCAACGCCGCGGGAGUGAAGAAGGUUUUCGGAUCGUAAAACUCUGUUGGUAGAGAAGAACGUUGGUGAGAGUGGAAAGCCCAUCAAGUGACGGUAACUACCCAGAAAGGGACGGCUAACUACGUG